GGGGGUGUAGCUCAGUUGGUAGAGCGCCACGUUCGCAACGUGGAAGUCGGCGGUUCGAGUCCGCUCACCUCCACCA
rnacentral:tRNA from 1 species